rnacentral:rRNA from 1 species
CAGAAAAAGCACCGGCUAACUACGUGCCAGCAGCCGCGGUAAUACGUAGGGUGCGAGCGUUAUCCGGAAUUAUUGGGCGUAAAGAGCUCGUAGGCGGUUUGUCGCGUCUGCUGUGAAAACCCGAGGCUCAACCUCGGGCCUGCAGUGGGUACGGGCAGACUAGAGUGUGGUAGGGGAGACUGGAAUUCCUGGUGUAGCGGUGGAAUGCGCAGAUAUCAGGAGGAACACCGAUGGCGAAGGCGGGUCUCUGGGCAGUAACUGACGCUGAGGAGCGAAAGCGUGGGGAGCGAACAGGAUUAGAUACCCUGGUAGUCCACGCCGUAAACGGUGGGCACUAGAUGUGGGGCUCUUUCCAUGAGUUCCGCGUCGCAGCUAACGCAUUAAGUGCCCCGCCUGGGGAGUACGGCCGCAAGGCUAAAACUCAAAGGAAUUGACGGGGGCCCGCACAAGCGGCGGAGCAUGCGGAUUAAUUCGAUGCAACGCGAAGAACCUUACCAAGGCAUGACAUGUAGGAGGAAACGGCUAGAAAUAGUCGCCCCGCAAGGUCUCCUACACAGGUGGUGCAUGGUUGUCGUCAGCUCGUGUCGUGAGAUGUUCGGUUAAGUCCGGCAACGAGCGCAACCCUCGUCCUAUGUUGCCAGCGGGUAAUGCCGGGAACUCAUGGGAUACUGCCGUGGUCAACACGGAGGAAGGUGGGGAUGAGGUCAAAUCAUCAUGCCCCUUAAGUCUUGGGCUUCACGCAUGCUACAAUGGCCGAUACAAAGGGCUGCGAUACCGCAAGGUGGAGCGAAUCCCAAAAAGUCGGUCUCAGUUCGGAUUGGGGUCUGCAACUCGACCCCAUGAAGUCGGAGUCGCUAGUAAUCGCAGAUCAGCAACGCUGCGGUGAAUACGUUCCCGGGCCUUGUACACACCGCCCGUCAAGUCACGAAAGUCGGUAACACCCGAAGCCGGUGGCCCAACCCUUGUGGAGGGAGCCGUCGAAGGUGGGACUGGCGAUUGGGACUAAGUCGUAACAAGGUAGCCGUACCGGAAGGUGCGGCUG